rnacentral:rRNA from 1 species
AGGGGGUACGACGGGCAGUGAUUAGAGUUUGAUCAUGGCUCAGGAUGAACGCUGGCGGCAUGCCUAAGACAUGCAAGUCGAACGAGGUGGCCCAAAGAAGAUUGAGUGCUUGCACAAGAUUGGACUUGGAUUACCACCUAGUGGCGGACGGGUGAGUAACACGUAGGUGACCUGCCUUUGAGUUUGGGAUAACUAUUAGAAAUGAUAGCUAAUACCGAAUUAAAUGCAGAUUCGUUUCUGUAUUAAAAGGAGCCUUUAAAGCUUCGCUUAAAGAUGGGCCUGCGGCGUAUUAGCUAGUUGGUGAGGUAGUGGCUUACCAAGGCGACGAUGCGUAGAAUCUAUCGUACUAUCGUCUGAGUCACCGUAGACUACAGAUAGCAAAGCAAGUUGUAAGCGGGCCUACAGUACUUGAAGUGUAGCCUAUACGGCUAACUAGAAAGCACUUUUAUCUGGCCUCUCUGUAAACAAGUUACCCUUUCG